GGGAGCUCGGGUACUCGGGAGCUCGGCUCGAGGGGGAGUUCGGGUCCUCGGGAGCUCGGCUCGCUUCGGUUUGAGCGGGAGCUCAGGUCCUCGGCCGAAAGUUGAGCUAAAAAUAGAACCAGCCGCCUGACGACUGGGUUCGGAUUGGUUGCCAGAUGGACAGUCGUUGCCAAUGGGAUGAGGCGUACGGACAGGAGGAUCUCGAUGGGUCGAAGCGUUUUAAACUGGGGGUGGAUCGGGAGAAUUAGAUCAGAAAAUUUUGAGAAAUAACCCACACAA